UGUCCUCUGUUCCUCCAUUCACCUACAUUGGGCAAGAGACUGUGCAUCUACCCGAUCUAUUCCUCUCAUGAUGUUAUACACCUCUGUAAGGUCAUCCGAGGAAAUGGUGGGAAGCUAGAGCACAAAUUGCAAGUGGCCUGGCUGAGAUAUAUGAAUCAUCAUUAGACAUGGGUGAGGUGACGGAAGACUGGAGGAUGCUAAUGUUGUGUUUUAUUUAUGAAGGGCCUCAAGGAAAAGCCUUGGAACUGUAGACCAGCAGACCUAGCAUCUGUGGUAAGUUACUGGAGAGUAUUCUGAAGGAUAAGAUAGAUAAACAGGAGCUGAUUAGGGAUAGUCAGUAUGGUUUUGUGCGCGGGAGAUCAUAUCUUACGAAUCUAAUUGAGUAUUUUGAAGACUUAACUAAAAAGGUUGAUGAGGGCAAAUCCAUAGUCUAUAUCAAGGCAUUUGAUAAGGUUCCACAUGUUAGGCAGUUCUGGAAGGUUAGAUUGCAUUUGAUCCUAGGAGAAUGAGCCAACUGGAUAGAAAAUUGGCUUAAUGAGAGGGUGUUGGUAGAAACUUAUUUUUCAGACUGCAGGCCUGUGAUUAGUGGUGUGCCUCAGGGAUCGGUGCUGGACCCAUUGCUGUUUGCAGUUUAUAUCAAUGGAAUAUAGAAGGCAUGGUUAGUAAGUUUGCAGAUGACAUUAAAGUGAGUGGUAUCGUAGAUGGCACAGAUGGUUAUCAAAAAUGACAUCAAGAUCUUGACCCGUGUGCUGAGGAAUGGUCAAUGGAAUUUAAUGCAGAUAAGUGCAAGGCAUUGCAUUUUGGGAAGUUAAACCAGGGCAGGACCAAAGAUUAUAGAGGCUCCUCUAGGAUCUUUGGGCAGGACCCUCACAGAGAAUGGCAGGGCUCUGGUGAGUGUUGUAGAGCAGAAGGACAGAGGAAUGCAACUGCAUAGUUCCUUGCAAGUGAUAUCACAGUGAUCAAAUAGGCUUUCAUUACAUGGGCCUUUAUCUGUCAGGGUAUUGAGUAUAGAAAUCGGGAUGUUGUGUUAUAAUUGUACAAUACAUUAGUGAGGCUGCAUUUAGAGUAUUGUGUUCAGUUACUCUGCUAUGGGACAGAUGUUGUUAAACUGUAAAGAGUGUAGAGAAAAUUUAUGAGAAUGUUGACAAAACUUGAUGGCCUGAGCUAUAGGGAGAGGUUGGGCAGGCUAGAAUUUUAUUCCUGGAACACAGGAGGGUGAGGGAUGAUCUUAUGGAGGUUAUUUGAGGUGAAUAGGAGAAGAGAUUUGAGGGGAAUAGAUAGAGUGACUGCACAGCGAAUUUUAUCCAUUGUAGGGGAAUUAAGAAAUGGACAACAUCGGUUUAAGGUGAGAGGGGAAAAAUGUUAUAGGAAACUGAGGAGCGCAUUUUUCAUACAGAGGGUGGUGGGCAUAGGGAACAAGUUGCUAGAGCAGGUAGUUGAGGCUGGUACUAUAACAAUAUUUAAAAGAUAUUUAGACUGGUACAUGGGUAGGAAAGAUUUAGAGGAUUUAGAGAAAGAUUUAGAGGAUUACGUCCAAAAGUGGGCACCUGUUUAUGUGGCAUCUUGUACGGCAAGGGUAAGUUGGGCAGAAGGGCUUGGCUCUGUGUGUAUAACUAAAACUCUUUUUCAUGGUGACAACUUCAAUAACAUAAGUGCAAAAUUCUGGCAUUCACUUUGUCCCUUUAUCCCCUCCUCCCUUCCUUCCUUUAGGACUUACAUUAAAUCUUACCUCUAUGACCAACAUUUUAAUCAGUCCUGGUAUUUCUUGCUAGGGUUUGAUUGAUGUUUGAUUAUGUUCUGUAUAAAUUAAGAAGAAGAUACUGGUUCUUAUUCUGUGUAUGAGCUGUAGUUUUGUUUCUCAGGCUCUGAACAUUCUCCGUGUUUUACGUACUAAUCCUUUUGUUUCACAGCUGCCUGACUGGCUGAGUAUUUCCAGCAUUUCCUGUUUUUUACAAAACAGAGCUCUUUGUUGACCCCAUACUUGUUAUUACGUUGAUAUGUCAGCGGAGGCAACGUUGCUUUUAUUUUGACACCUUUUUAAUUAUACUUGGAGAUUGUUUUCAUGGAAUAGUUUUGUGCAGUUUUCAAGUUAAAUCCUUCGUCCCUACACCAGUGAAUGAACAGGAGUACCAGAUUAAGCAUUAGAGACAACCCUGAGAAAUUGUUGUCAAUGUUUCUAGUUGAAACCCUGCAUCAGGACUUCUGAUUUUAGCUCCAGUAAUUCAGUGAUCUGAAAUAAUAACUCUGUUUAUCUCUCACAUAGAAGCUGCUGAGUGUUUGCAGCUUUUCAUUUGUUUUAUUUCAGGAUUCCAUCAUCUGCAGUUUUUUUGCUUUUUCAUUUGGAAUUGUAAAUGCUGGGAGGCAAAGUCAUGUCAACUUUAGAUCAACCUCAAAGAUGAUAAAGUUACAGUAAGGGCAGCAAAGUUGCACAACUGGUAGAGUUCCUUCCUCACAUCUUCCCCAUUGCUCCUUCUAUUGUACUUGAAUUUGACUUGAUUCUAUUUGUGUCUAGUAUUAUCUGUUUAGAUAGCAUGCAAAACACAGCUUUUCACCUGACAGUACACGUGACAAUAAAAACCUAAACUUAAAUCGAAACCUAAACCAGAAACCUGGGUUUGCAUGUUCUCCCUGUAACUGUGUGGGUUUUAUCGAUAUUUUCUGGUUUCCUCCCACAUCACAAAGACAUUCAGAUUCAGAUUCAAUUAAUUGUCAUUGUCAGUGUACAGUACAGAGACGACGAAAUGCAACGAAAGACAUAGGAGUGUGCAGGUUAAUUGGCCUCUGUAAAUUACCCCUAGUAUGUAAGGACUGGAUGAAAAAGCAGAAUAACAUAAAACUAAUGAGAAUGUGUCAUUAAUGUUCAGACUAGACUGAGUGGGUCUGUUUCCAUGCUGUAUCUCUGAAACAAAAUUAGUAAAUGAAAAAAAAUGAUCAAAGCUUGACACAAAAUGCUGGAGUAACUCAUUUUUUUAUAAUGAAAGUGAAUCAAGAUUGUGCAGGGUAUCAGAUGGCCAUUUCAUUUAUUCAUGCUCAGGGUAUGAAUAUUGACAAGGCUGCCAAUUGUUGCCCACAUCUUGUUGCUCUUCAGGUAGCUUAGAACUUCUCAAUCACUGGAAGUGGUGUGGGGCAGACAAUCCCGUUAAAUAGAGAGGUCAAGGGUUUUUGACUCAGUGGCCGUGAAGCAGCAACAGUAUACCUUCAUAUCAGGACAUGGCUAAGUAAAUUUGUCUGAGUAAGAAAACAAAUCCAUUGCAAAUAGCAGUCUAUUUAAUAUUAACUGGAGCAGUUGGGCAUAAAUGAGCUCAGUUUUAUAAAUGCUUUUUCUUUCUCUGGCUAAAGGUGAACUAAAACAGAGAGAUUUGAACUGCCAUGACAACAGAGAGGGAUCGAACUCCAUUUAACACGUUGUGGACUACAGACAUACCUGCAGAAAAAUUCUGCACCACACUUGGGGAACGUUGAGUCCACAGAGAGCUUUCUGAGGGCAAGGGAGGGCUGCAGCUACAUCAGCAGCAAUGCAGUUGGAUGUUCCAAUGGACCAAAUCCUCAAGACUGCAGGAUGGUCAACGGAGAGAACAUUCCAACGAUUUUAUAAUAAACCAGUCAUUGAACCUGGAACAUUUGCAGAAACACUUUUAAGUUCUGUAAUAUGAUUUUACCCCAUAAAGAGGGGCUAUGAUUUGGUGCUAAUAAAUUUUUUGUUGUUUCAAUAUCGUAUUGAUAUCUAAUGAUGUUAACACUAUUCUCCCCAUAAUCAAGGCAGAUGUGAUGCAUGGACUCGUUUCCACGGCAUGAAAUCACAGAGCUUUAAAAUUUACCAGUUUGAAGUUUGAUCUUUAUUUUAUGAGGAGUAACGUUGAGGGAAUAC